UACGGGGGGGGCAAGCGUUGUUCGGAAUUACUGGGCGUAAAGGGCUCGUAGGUGGCCAACUAAGUCAGACGUGAAAUCCCUCAGCUUAACUGGGGAACUGCGUCUGAUACUGGAUGGCUUGAAUUCGGGAGAGGGAUGCAGAAUUCCAGGUGUAGCGGUGAAAUGCGUAGAUAUCUGGAGGAAUACCGGUGGCGAAGGCGGCAUCCUGGACCGACAUUGACGCUGAGACGCGAAAGCGUGGGGAGCAAACAGG
rnacentral:rRNA from 1 species